UACGUAGGGUGCGAGCGUUAAUCGGAAUUACUGGGCGUAAAGGGCGCGUAGGCGGCCUGAUAAGUAGGGGGUGAAAUCCUGCGGCUUAACCGCAGGGCUGCCUUCUAAACUGUCAGGCUCGAGCACAGUAGAGGCAGGUGGAAUUCCCGGUGUAGCGGUGGAAUGCGUAGAGAUCGGGAAGAACAUCAGUGGCGAAGGCGGUCUGCUGGGCCGUUGCUGACGCUGAGGCGCGACAGCGGUGGGGAGCAAACAGG
rnacentral:rRNA from 1 species